CAGUGGGUCAGUUGCAGCAGGUUACCUGUGCACAAUUCUGCCGUUUGCAAGACUGUUGGAAAUCCUAUAAACUGACUACGCCACGGAUGAAACUCGAAAUGCUUUUUCAGGCAUGGAUCCUACAACAGUUGCAGUAUUGAAAGCUGCUAAUAUUAGCACAGAAUUGCUUCCCAGUCUGUCUAAGGUGGACUUGCGUGACCUCUUUCCGGGGCCUGAGCACUUUUUCCGAAGGAAAGCCAUUUGGAGGACCACUCAUGGUGAAAAUGAGAUGAUAUCCGAUUUUAACGUUGUGUGGACAUUAAACUAUGCUUUUAUGCCGUAAUUUCAUUACGAUCAAUGUGAUUUUUACGUUCCAUGUUUUUGUCAGGAAUCUGUGAAGAAGCAGCUUUUGAGAAGGGUCCAAAAUGUGACAACCCCCAAAAAGAAGCAGGGAGCAACUCCUUCAAGAAAGAGGCGACUGGCCAUCAGCUUUGAGAGCAGCAGCCAUGGGUCACCCACUGAUGACAGCAGGUCCAAUGCUUCAACUUUGAGCUUGGAAACAUCACCGCAGUCUGGAGGCACUUCCCCGGAGGCUGAACAGGUGGAUGGGCCUGAAACUACUGACAGCCCACAGAACCAGGCCAGACACUACAAAGUUCUGCAGGAGCUAUACAAAUCCAAGCCCAGGCCCAACAAGAAGGAUGUUGCCCAGCUGUUGGACCUGGAAUACCAAGCAAGACGGGCUUACAUCGACUCUGAUGUUCUGAAGGAGCACGACAGACCUACCAAGAUUCUUCAAGCAUAUCCCUGCUUCAGAGAAGUGGAUCAUAUAAUGGAUGAACUGCAGCGGAUCCUCAAUCAAGGAAACCCCCACUUCAUAGCUGAACUGAAGAACCGCUGGAAGACCUUUUGUGAGAAGAUCCAGUUUUAUGGCGUUUUCAAAAAAGUCAUGAGACCUCCACUGGCUGAUAAAGUAAAGCGAGGGGUUGCGAUGAUGAAAGCUUUGCCAGACGUCUUCCCAUCACCCAUUGCUCCACCCAAGAAGUUGGGGCAUGCAAGUGAGGGCAUUCUUCACAUCUUGAGUCUGUGGAAGACCCCAACGCUUUCCUGAACGCAAGACCGCUCUCCAGCCCUGUAGUGAUCGUCUGUGAGAGCAACUGCAUUCUGGCCAUCGGAACCAUGCCUGUGCUGAUCUUCCCAAAGGAGGACAUCUCAGUGUGAUGUACAUCAUGGCAUGCUGCUACACCUUUCACCUCACAUACCCCAAGUGCAUAACCACACUCCUCUCUGUGCUGCAGACAGAGGUCCUCAUGGAUGCCAUCCAUGACCAAGACAUGACUUCUUCAUAUAAAAAAGCUAUGGCUGAGUGGAGGAAGUUCAGAGGACUUUUUGCAGUGUAGGAGAAGUAAAGAAGGGGAAGUUCAUACGUCAGGUGGCAGAUGAAGAUGGACAGAAUGACUUUUCAGCCCAUCAGGUCAUCCAUGAACAAAUGGAGACAGAUCUUACAUUAUAUGAGAUGGAACAUUUUAAAUUUUACUUCAACAUAAUUGAUGGCACAAUUUACCCCCAACAUGUUUUCUGCAAAGGCUCAACUAAGUCCAGGUUUGUUCCCUUUGGAAAGCCAUAUUCCUCAUAUACAAUGACUACACCAGUGUUUCAGCAUUUUACAUGAACCCAAAUUUAUCCACUGUGUGCUUUCUUUACAGUAAAUAUGACAGCUAAAAGUUUAAAAAAUAACAACAUUACAUAUAUGCUGCUUUGUUUACAUUUGAACGAGGUAGUGCUGCAUUUAAAUCAGGGUGCAGACAGUUCUGCACAGUGUCUUCCAGAUUUCAACAAGACAACAGGACGACUUGAAACGAGCAGGACAUCGAGAUUAAUCUCAACUUUAACCUUUCAAGAAAACCCAAAGAAGCCAACAUUUUUGAGUCUUUUUUGACAAGAUAAAAAUGAACAAUCAAAGUUCAUCCUCAUCCUCAUCUUCCUCUGAGGAGAGUACUACAAGGCAUCCUUUCGAAGUCCCAGAAGACUACAAGUUGAUGCAAAACCUGGAACAUGGAAGCUGUGGAUUUGUGCCGGAACGUAUGACAAACAACACUGAAGAGCACGAGGCCAUAAAGGUGUCCGAACGGAACUGUCAAGACCAUGAGGUGAAAAUCCUGAAAAAACCCAUGAGCCACAACUCAAAGGAGAAGGACAGAACCCCCCCCAGUGAUAUCCUCGACCAUCCCUCUAUCACUAGAAGCGACCUCAGCAGCAACUCCCCCACCAGCAGUUGCGAUGAAUCUAGACCCUCCACCACCGUGUCCAUCAUGGUUAAGCCUGCAGAUCCAGAGAACAGAAUCAACCUGACAGGCUUGCCUGAUGAUGAAAGUGACCUGAAGAGCAGUAAGCUUGAGGACAGUGACACUGCUAAAGACACUGAGAACAACAAGGACAAUGAUG